UGAAAGUGUACCUAGGGUUCCAGCCUAUUUAUAGGUGUUCGGACCGAGCGGUACAGGUAUAUUUUAUAUACCACACCUUAGGGACAAAAGCCCGGGAGGA
rnacentral:sRNA from 2 species